CAGGUGGGCACUCCUGAGGUUGCAGAGCGGAGGAGACCACCAACACUGCCCACCCCUGCCCACAUCCCUGGCUCAAGAGGAAACUGUAUAAGGCCUCUGGGUUCCCGUAGGGGAGGGUCCAGGAGCGGCCGGACCCCUGCGCCUGAGACACCACCGGAACCUGAAGGAAACAGACCGGAUAGACAGUUCUCUGCACCCAAAUCCCAUGGGAGGGAGAGCUGGACCUUCGGAGAGGCAGACACACCUGGGAAACCAGAGGAGACUGCACUCUGCGCACGUCCAGACACCAGAGGAAAACACCAGGCACCAUCUGGAACCCUGGUGCACGGAGGCUCCCGGAAAGAGCGGCGCAGAUCUUCCUGGUUGCUGCCGCCAUGGAGAGGACUUAGGCAGUACCCCACGAGCAGGCUUGAGCCUUGGAACCACAGGUAGGACCAACUUUUCCCCUGCAAGAGACCUGCCUGGUGAACUCCAGACACAGGCCCACAGGAACAGCUGAAGACCUCUAGAUGGGAGAGACUACAUGCCUGAAAGCAGAACACUCUGUCCCCAUAACUGGCUGAAAGAAAACAGGAAAA
rnacentral:lncRNA from 1 species